rnacentral:rRNA from 1 species
UACGUAGGUGGCAAGCGUUGUCCGGAUUUACUGGGCGUAAAGCGCACGCAGGUGGCUCAUAUAGUCUAGGGUGAAAUCUCCUGGCUCAACCAGGAGAGGUCUCUGGAUACUCAUGGGCUUGAGGGCAGCAGAGGAGAGCAGAAUUCCCGGUGUAGCGGUGAUAUGCGUAGAUAUCGGGAGGAAUACCAGUGGCGAAGGCGGCUCUCUGGGCUGUCCCUGACGCUGAGGUGCGAAAGCGUGGGGAGCAAACCGG